rnacentral:rRNA from 1 species
UCUGGUUGAUCCUGCCUGAACUGAUGUGUUUAUUUCAAAGAUUAAGCCAUGCAUGUAUAAGUUUAAUCGUUUAUCGAGAAACCGCGAACGGCUCAUUACAAUGGCCAUUAUUUACUUGAUCUUGAUUGUCUAAAUGGAUAACUGUGGAAAAGCUAGAGCUAAUACAUGCACUAAAGCUUUGUCCUUACGGAAAAGCGCAUUUAUUAGAACAAAACCACGCGGCUUCGGCUGCUUCUUGUUGACUCAGAAUAACUUAGCUGACCGCAUGGCCUUGUGCCGGCGGCGUGUCUUUCAAGCGUCCACUUUAUCAACUUGACGGGAGCAUAAUCGACUCCCGUGGUGGUGACGGAUAACGGAGGAUCAGGGUUCGACUCCGGAGAAGGGCCUGAAAAUGGCCACUACGUCUAAGGAUGGCAGCAGGCGCGCAAAUUACCCACUCUCGGCUCGAGGAGGUAGUGACGAGAAAUAACGAGACUGUUCUCUUUGAGGCCGGUCAUCGGAAUGGGUACAAUUUAAACCCUUUAACGAGUAUCAAGCAGAGGGCAAGUCUGGUGCCAGCAGCCGCGGUAAUUCCAGCUCUGCAAAUACAUAGAAUUAUUGCUGCGGUUAGAAAGCUCAUAGUUGGAUUCGUAUCGAUACCUUGGAACCCUUCGGGUGUCUCUAUUGUUAUCGAUUUAUCGUAAUGUUCGGUUUUGAGUCCUUAACAGGAUUCUUAACAGGCAUUGCAAGUUUACUUUGAACAAAUCAGAGUGCUUCAAACAGGCGUUUUCGCUUGAAUGAUCGUGCAUGGAAUAAUAGAAAAUGAUUUCGGUUCAGUUUUAUUGGUUUUACGGACUGAGAUAAUGGUUAACAGAGACAAACGGGGGCAUUUGUAUGGUCCCGUGAGAGGUGAAAUUCUUGGACGUGCCAGACAAACUACAGCGAAAGCAUUUGCCAAGAAUGUUUUUAUUAAUCAAGAACGAAAGUCAGAGGUUGAAGGCGAUCAGAUACCGCCCUAGUUCUGACCGUAAACGAUGCCAACUAGCGAUCCGCCGAUGGAAAUUAUAUUGCUUGUGGGGAGCUUCCCGGAACGAAAGUCUUCCGGUUCCGGGGGAAGUAUGGUUGCAAAGCUGAACUUAAAGAAUUGACGGAAGGGCACCACCAGGAGUGGAGCCUGCGGCUUAAUUUGACUCAACACGGGGAAACUCACCGGCCGGACACUGUGAGGAUUGACAGAUUGAUAGCUUUUUCAUGAUUCAGUGGAUGGUGGUGCAUGGCCGUUCUUAGUUCGUGGAGUGAUUUGUCUGUUUAUUCGAUAACGAGCGAGACUCUAACCUACUAAAUAGUUGGUACAUACUCUUAGUGUAUACAGCUUCUUAGAGGAUUUGCGGCGUUCAGCCGAAAGAAAUUGAGCAAUAACAGGUCUGUGAUGCCUUAGAUGUCCGGGCUGCACGCGCGCUACACUGGCAAAUCAACGUGCUUGUCCUACCCUGAAAGGGGCGGUAAACAUUGAAAAUUUGCCGUGAUUGGGAUCGAAAUUGCAAUUAUUUUCCGUGAACGAGAAUUCCAAGUAAGUGCGAGUCAUCAGCUCGCGUUGAUUACGUCCCUGCCUUUUACACACGCCGUCGCUGCCGGGACUGAGCCAUUUCGAGAAAUUUGGGGACCUUGAUUUAAUUUUCUAAAUUACUUUGAUGGAAACAAUUUAAUCGCAGUGGCUUAACGGGCAAAAGUCGUAACAAGGUAGCUGUAGUGAACUGCUGCUG